GUGCCCACUUUGGCAGCACAUAUACUAAAAAUUGGAAUGAUACAAAGAUUAGCCAUGUCCAAGAAUGACAUGCAAAUUCGUGAAGUGUUCCCUAUUUUU
rnacentral:snRNA from 1 species